rnacentral:lncRNA from 1 species
AUACAGUUAAUGUAAACAAUGAAAGUCAUGUACUAAUUGAAUAUUCAUAAUAUCUGCAUAGACAUUAACAAAAAUGCAGUAAAGUAUCUAUUGUGAUUCAGUUAUUUUCUUCAAAUCUGCAUGAGGUAUUGUGAUGAAAUGAUGAGUAGCAGCACAUUUUGACAUAUUUUUUUUACAAUUGGUCUGUAAAAGUACAUGUUUAUGGCUUUUCUAAAUAUUUGUUACUGAAGUUAAUGAAAUUAUAUGUAUUUUUUCUGUAUCGAGCUGGUAGCCCAGAAAAAAAUUAAUUCUGAGCACCAAUCAAAUACUAUCUCAUGCAAAUUUGACAACUGCUAUCUUAUGACUGUCCUAGAAAUUAUUGUAUGGGAAGAGGAAAUUAAAAAUGGUGGGUGUUGAUAUUUUUUAUACAACAACAACAUUGUUUUUUUUAUAAAUUCAUUUGGGAUUCUAAAAAAAAUAUUUCUCCACUCACAUAACUUUGUGGAACAGUCCUUCCAACCAUUUUACAGAUAUAAACAUAAAGCACAGCUUCAGUAUGAAUAAAAUGUAAUACAUUAAUUAGAAAACUAACAAGAUACAUUAACUAAUAAAUGCAUUCUGAAGUAAAGUAAAGCAAGUUAAUUAAAGUACAUGUACUCUCAAUAUAGAAAACAAAGUAAUCAAUACUUUUAAUAUUUUACAUUGUUUUGUAAAACUUCAAACUUAAAAGACAAGAGAGAAGUUGAAAUUGGGCACUGCACAUAAUAAAUAAAUAAUUC